rnacentral:rRNA from 1 species
CCUACGGGAGGCAGCAGUGAGGAAUAUUGGUCAAUGGGCGCGAGCCUGAACCAGCCAAGUAGCGUGAAGGAUGACUGCCCUACGGGUUGUAAACUUCUUUUAUAAAGGAAUAAAGUGAGGCACGUGUGCCUUUUUGUAUGUACUUUAUGAAUAAGGAUCGGCUAACUCCGUGCCAGCAGCCGCGGUAAUACGGAGGAUCCGAGCGUUAUCCGGAUUUAUUGGGUUUAAAGGGAGCGUAGAUGGGUUGUUAAGUCAGUUGUGAAAGUUUGCGGCUCAACCGUAAAAUUGCAAUUGAUACUGGCAUUGUUGGUUACAGUUGGGUGAGGCGGAAUUGGUGGGGUAGCGGGGA